rnacentral:rRNA from 1 species
CCUACGGGUGGCUGCAGUGAGGAAUAUUGGUCAAUGGACGAGAGUCUGAACCAGCCAAGUAGCGUGAAGGAUGACUGCCCUAUGUGUUGUAAACUUCUUUUAUAUGGGAAUAAAAUGUUCCACGUGUGGGAUUUUGUAUGUACCAUAUGAAUAAGGAUCGGCUAACUCCGUGCCAGCAGCCGCGGUAAUACGGAGGCUCCGAGCGUUAUCCGGAUUUAUUGGGUUUAAAGGGAGCGUAGGUGGAUUGUUAAGUCAGUUGUGAAAGUUUGCGGCUCAACCGUAAGAUUGCAGUUGAAACUGGCAGUCUUGAGUAAAGUAGAGGUGGGCGGAAUUCGUGGUGUAGCGGUGAAAUGCUGAGAUAUCACGAAGAACUCCGAGUGCGAAGGCAGUUCACUGGACUGCAACUGACACUGAGGCUCGAAAGUGUGGGUAUCAAACAGGAUUAGAUACCCGAGUAGUC